UACGAAGGGGGCGAGCGUUGUUCGGAUUUACUGGGCGUAAAGGGCGCGUAGGCGGCGGGUCAAGUCGAGUGUGAAAGCCCCGGGCUCAACCUGGGAAUUGCGCUCGAGACUGGUCUGCUUGAGUUCGGGAGAGGAGCGUGGAAUUCCCAGUGUAGAGGUGAAAUUCGUAGAUAUUGGGAAGAACACCGGUGGCGAAGGCGGCGCUCUGGACCGAGACUGACGCUGAGGCGCGAAAGCGUGGGGAGCAAACAGGG
rnacentral:rRNA from 1 species